AUGUACUCUACGCACUCUGCACCUCGUGUCAUUGAAUCCUCUCGUUACAUCACCAAGGCCUUGCAGAUCUACUCCUUCAAAAUCUUUGACCUAAAUGAAAACUUGAAGUGGCCACUCUAUGUGUAUGGUGUGGUGGCUGCUCGAGACGCUGUGGACUUUAACCGCAACCUUCUCUUCUCCUGCUCCAGGGCUAACUGCCAAGUAGUCACAGAAAAGGAUCCUUUUUUGCACUUGACUGGCCCUUCUCGUGCAAUUGUGGCUGACGAACCUGUUGACUUUGAAGUCGAGCUAAAGAUAAAAUGUGGAACAAAUCAGUCCCAAGAUAUAGCUUUGAUCAGUUCUACUUACCACUACACUUCUAGAGGUGAUGCUGCUUUUUUCACUGGCUGCUCUUGUUCGGCAACGUUGAGCCUUGAGACAGUUCCUAGAGCGGCCCAGGCCACUAUUGUAUCUAUUCGAGUGGUUGGAGGAGUGUCUCUUUUCGAAUUUGGAGGCCGGGUUGCUUGCUCGUUCUCUACUGAAGAGUAUGUUGAUCCCACAUGCGAGCAAGUUGUGCUGGUUGAGUCUGCUGAAAAGAUUCCUGAGGAUGAUGGUUACCUUACACUGUCAAGGAAGGUUGUUACGGCAGGACUACAAGGAGGAUUGCAAGUUGCCAUACAAGCCUAUGAGGGAUCUGACCGUCCAUCCAUAUCCGGUCUUCUUUACUUCCCUUCCCAGUAUUGCAGGGUAAGUCGGCGCACAUGCUUGGUCGGUGGCUUUGAGGUGGAGGUAACUGUUGCUUGGUCGUGGUUUGUACAGGACAAGAUGGAAAUCUUGUGA
rnacentral:rRNA from 1 species